CGUUAGGCGGAAUCACUGGGCUUAAAGCGUGUGUAGGCGGAUGGUUAAGUACCUUGUGAAAUCCCACGGCUCAACCGUGGAACCGCUUGGUAUACUGGUCAUCUUGAGCCACUUAGGGGUUACCGGAACAAAUGGUGGAGCGGUGAAAUGCGUAGAUAUCGGGAGGAACACCUAUGGCGAAGGCAGCUCGCUGGGACGUUACUGACGCUGAGACGCGAAAGCGUGGGGAGCAAACAGG
rnacentral:rRNA from 1 species